AUGUCCACCACCGCACCAGCUUUUUCCUUCAAGACAGCGUGGCUUCAGUGUCUUUUACUUGCAGCUGGAUGUCUGGCCGAGGAAUUGAAGAUGCCUCAGAUUUCGAUCACGAAGCCAGAGACGACGACGGUGAAGAUACUGUGCGAGGCAGGGGUACUCGAUGACAUCCACUGGUACCAGCAACUCGCCAACCAGGCACCCAGAAAGAUCCUGCGCUUUAGCAAAGGGCGAAUGGAGCGCGAUCCGGGAGUGUCCUCCAAGUUCUCAGCCGAGGGCAGUAACUCUUUCGUCUCUCUUGUGAUUGACAACAUUGCCCUGACAGAUGCCGCUAUCUUUUACUGUGCCUGUUAA